rnacentral:lncRNA from 1 species
CUGACUCACACUCAUUUCUUUAGCUGUCUUCCUAGGAGAUGCAGUCAAAGAGAAGGUCAAAAUUACUUUUGUUGUUCUAUUGAAAGCUUUAAGUGCUAGUCUGGAUUGAAAGAUGUAGUCUUCAAUUUUGUAAAAACCUCUUUCUUUAAUUUUAAGUGUGUUCCUUGCCCUGAAAAACUUUCUAAAGAACUGAGUUUUACUGUUUUGUGUGAUAGCGUGCAACCUUCUCCUGAAGUCUGACAGCUGGAACAAUACCUAAUGGGACUGUCUGUCAAUUAUGACACUUCCCUGCUCAGCAAAGAAAUAAAGAACAACCAUUUAUUUGAAACUGCAUAUGAACAGCUGUGAGCCUUGUGCUGCUUGUAUGGAUGCAACAGAGUGCAGUACAAUGUCCUGGAGCUCUAACAGCCUGAGAAAGGUUUGUUCUAGGCGGGAGAACC